rnacentral:rRNA from 1 species
UAGGGAAUCUUCCGCAAUGGACGAAAGUCUGACGGAGCAACGCCGCGUGAGUGAAGAAGGAUUUCGGUUCGUAAAACUCUGUUGUUAGGGAAGAAAAAAUGUAUAGCAACUAUAUACAAAAGAGACGGUACCUAACCAGAAAGCCACGGCUAACUACGUGCCAGCAGCCGCGGUAAUACGUAGGUGGCAAGCGUUGUCCGGAAUUAUUGGGCGUAAAGCGCGCGCAGGUGGUUUAGAAAGUCUGAUGUGAAAGCCCACGGCUCAACCGUGGGGGGUCAUUGGAAACUAAUAAACUUGAGUGCAGGAGAGAAAGGUGGAAUUCCUGGUGUAGCGGUGAAAUGCGUAGAGAUUAGGAGGAACACCGGUGGCGAAAGCGGCUUUUUGGCCUGCAACUGAAACUGAGGCGCGAAAGCGUGGGGAGCAAACAGG